GCAUGGAUUAGGCAUGCAAGUCCAGCGGAAAGGCCCCGCAAGGGGUGCUCGAGCGGCGUAAGGGACAGUAAUGUAUAGGUACGUACCCCCGGGUCUGGGAUAGCUGCGGGAAACUGCAAUUAAUACCAGAUGACGUCUCCGGACCAAAGGUGUGAUUCCGCCUGGGGAGCGGCCUGUAUCCUAUUAGCUAGUUGGUGUGGUGACGGCGCACCAAGGCAAAGAUGGGGAGCAGGUGUGAGAGCACGACCUGCGUCACUGGGACUGAGACACUGCCCAGACACCUACGGGUGGCUGCAAUCGAGGAUCUUCGGCUAUGAGCGCAAGCUUGACCGAGCGACGUCGCGUGUGGGAUGAAGGCCUUCGGGUUCUAAACCACUGU
rnacentral:rRNA from 1 species